rnacentral:lncRNA from 1 species
GUCCACAGAAGGUGGAUUUGUUCAAGCUGUACUUCUGAAGACACAUGUGGGAUAAUUAACAAGGCAUCUGCAGCAGAGAGUGGAUUUGUCAACAUGCAAAGCUGCUGAUCUGCCCCUGCAUGCUGCUCCCUGCCCUAAGUGUGAGGAGGAUGAACUGCCCUCUUUUCACCUGCACCUCCCUGGAUGGAACAGAGCAUCUCCAUAAUACUUUAUGCAGAAGUAUCACUUCUAUUUAACACCAGAAACCCCAGGCACC